CAUGAGUGGCGGACGGGUGAGUAACGCGUGGGUAACCUGCCUUACACAGGGGGAUAACACCUGGAAACAGGUGCUAAUACCGCAUAAGCGCACAGGGCCGCAUGGCCCGGUGUGAAAAACUCCGGUGGUGUAAGAUGGACCCGCGUCUGAUUAGCUUGUUGGCGGGGUAGGGGCCCACCAAGGCGACGAUCAGUAGCCGGCCUGAGAGGGUGGACGGCCACAUUGGGACUGAGACACGGCCCAAACUCCUACGGAAGGCAGCAG
rnacentral:rRNA from 1 species